AUGUACAGCAGAGUGAAAAUAGAGCAAUUCCUACCUGCAACAGCCCUAUUGGGAACUGAGUGUGCACUUCCGUUGUCAUCCAUAAUCGGAAUGUCUCAUGAACGUUUUCAGUGUCCAGGAGUGCAUCCAUGGCCUCAUUGCAGAAGGGUAAGGACAGAUGAAUAUUUUGCAACAGUACCCAUCCACCAAACUGCAUUGAGUCAGCAAUCAUCUUUCGUGCGGCGAGCUCUUGACCUUGGCCCAUUGAAACCGCUCGCAACGGGAUCUCCUUUGCCUUUGCCAGAGAUGUCACUUGUGGCGAUGGGUCUGACCCGAUUGAAAGGAUGCAAAUUAACGGCGUGCGUGGUUCAGAUUCAGACCAGACUGUUGCGUCCAGCGAAUCUUCUCUCCGCCAAGGCCGUUAAUAAGGGCUGUAGCUGCUGUCAUCUUUCGGAUACAAACAUUAGCUGCGUCCGUCAAGCGUUGCUUCUCCGAGACUGCAGCAUCGUAUUGCGCUUUCACCUGAUUAAGUGCGGAUUCCCGAUCGGCCAGCUCCAUUUCUGCAUUGUUCAAGUCCUCCAUGGCAACUUUCAGACGUGCUUCUUGACGGGUGACAAGUUGGAUAAAGACGACAAAAAACUCAGCAGCCCUACAUCACAUAGGCUCAGAUUUUGCAAAAUUACAUGAUGGCUACACAUACCUUUAGAGACUCAGCCCAUGAUGGUUUUGGACAAGGAGCAGCCGUAUCUCCUAUGACUGGGUGAAGUUUACGUUGGAACAGAAUCAAUACACAAUCCAUUAUACGCAUGAUUAAGUGGGGAGGCCGUCCAAGUUUCCGCACAGUUGCUGAAAAAUUACACAGAAAAAAAAACAUUGAAAUUUUUCUGAGCACUUCGGUACAAAGACCUGCAUUUUAGGUAGCAAAUCGAUUAUUUGUUAAAAAUGAAUAAUAAUAAUACGUAUUAAGUAAACAGUCACCUAUGAUACUUCUGCUAAUGAAAUUUUACAGAUAAAUUUGCCUAAAUUUUGCAAUUAGGAACUACAAUUUCUGGCCCAGUUUAGAAACAAUGUAAGUACCAUCAAUAUCCCUAUGCACAUGAGUGUUUUCACGGAUGAGCCGGAUAUUGUAAUUCCUAAUUGCAAACUGUAGACCGAUCAUGUUUGAAAUAACUCAUUUUCCAUUUCUGUCAGUCAAACAAUUUGGUGCCUACUAAGCGCAGGAUUGUACCUCAGUUGCACUGUUUCAGUAUUCUCAGUUAAAUUUGAUUUGUUUAGAGAAAAACUGUCGCAUGAAUUUCCUGAAAUUUUUGGUGACUUUUCUUUACUAUUGUGAAAAUAGAUACUGAAAUUCUCAGAUUAAUUCCUGCGACGACUCUCCCAUUAAAAAAUAAUAUGUGCAGAAAAAUACUUGAACAGCAGAGACAGGAUACCUUCUUGAUGCAGGAGGCGACGAAUUGAAGGUGUUUCAUACCUCAUUUGUAAGGAAAAAAAAUCCUAUCAAAGAAUUAUUUUUUAAAUCCGCAAGAAACAUCGGUUGGUUUCACUUCGGAAUUUUUGAAAUUCAGUGGGGUGCAUGGGCCUCAUCUGAUGUGUUGUACUGUUUUUCCUAUCCUGCAGAUUUUCCAUGAGCACCCCAAGAAAUUUUCCCACGUUGCUCAUCAAAUUUCAUCUCGACAAAUUGAUAUUUCGCAAACAAGAAGCUGGAGGAGGAAACCUCUUGAAUUACUUUAUCAAAAUGUUGAUCUGUCCUUCUAUGAUAAAACAAUAAACCAGUUAGAAUUUACCUAUAUGUGCUGGUUUGAUUGUAUUCAGGGCUGCUUCAGCCUCUUCAAGUGCUGGUUUGGCUGCCUCUAAUUUUUCUUCCGCAAGACCUUUCUCAAUUGCAAUGCAUUCAACAAGUGCCUCGGCUUUUUCUUUUACCUUCAUCACUUGAUUUUUUACUCGCUCAGCUUGCAUGGCUCGCUCUGUGACUUCAAUCAAAACCUGUAAGAUUUUUUAAAAAUUAAUUGAUACCAGUGCUUCACUUUUUAAACAUGCAUACCGAUAUCAACCUCUAUUGAAAUAUUCUCAAUACCAUAACAUACCUGAGUAUUUUAUUUCCACUUCCACUUAUGAUUAUAAAGAACAACUGGACGUAUUUCUAUGAAACAGACCUAUGUGCAAGUGAGAAAUGUGGGGUGUGCUUGUUAGUGGUCGGGCCUAAGAAUGAAUGGGGAAUAUUGUGCGCCAGUGACGUCAGCGGCAAUGAAGGAGACGUCACAAUGGGAACAUCAGUGGCGGGACUCUUUAUAACUCAUGAGCCCUCUUCACAAGGCUCUCUUGCCAUGCCCACGGCUCAUGAAUUCCGCAUUCAGUUGCACAUAGGUCUGUUUGAUAGAAUGCAAUAUCCCGCUUUCCCAAUUCUUCAAAAGGAAUCACGCCCACUUUUACAUUGCUUCUUAUGCAGCUUCGACGAGCACACCCCAUAUUUCUCACUUGCACAUAGGUCUGUUUGGUAGAAAUACGUCCGACUGAUCGAGAUAAAAGUCAAAAAACCUUAGUUCUAAAAUAUAAAGGCGACAAUUAAACCCCAGCACAUUCCAAGUUAUUUCUCCAAAUUUGUAAUCACUUACAGUUUCAGCUUUUUGGGAGGCUUGAGCCAGCUCUUGCUCCAUGAUAGCCAGAUCUUGUUUUAAAAUCUCGACUGAAUGAGAUGCCUCCUCAAGCUUAGCCAAACCGGUGUCCAUGCGGUGAGCUCCUUCGCCCAACUCGUGUUGCUUUUGUUGAUAAAUAUUCUUAUAUCCACCAAUGAAGUUCAGGUAUGAUUUUGGUGUGACAUGAGUGGCACGUCGAAAUCUGGUGUAACCAUGCAAGACAGAAAAUUACUAACAAAUCAUAGUAACGUUCAAAGAGAUCAAACAUAGACCAUCUUUUUGUGGUUUGUAAAGACGAAAAUUGUUCCAGAAAACUGCCAAGUUCUUAAUUAAAAUUAACCCCAUGCCGAUAAUUCUAGCUGUUAAUUCUAACAAAUUUGCUGAGAAUCCUAAAAUUCUCACUAUAAACCAACUUUGAGCUUAAAGCCACCAUUUUGGAAUUAUGAUAGUUAACGACCUGCGCUUUUUGCCAAAACUCACCCCUUUUUUUCACACUAUAGGGAUUCCCAUCGGUAAUUCUUAGGUUAUUUCCAACUUCCAAGAGAUAGAACAUCUGGUUUCCUGCCAGGAAUUAUUCCCAAAUGCAUUUAAGAGAGUCUCGUGCAAACCGUAACUGCUAAUUUUUGCAAAAUAUUAACGAGUAUCUGAUAAUUUUUGCCCACCGUGUAUGAGCUUGAUAAUUUUAUAACUGAGUACUGACCUUUGGAAAUACUCUGAGGACGUAAUAGUCACCACAUCUUGGAUAGAUCCUAAGGCAUUGACUAACUCCACUUUCACUUGUUUUGAACAUUCGAUUUCAAAGUCUGUCAAAAAAUGCUCUGCUACUAGGACUAAAGCAUCUUUAGGCCAUGGCUGGAACCAGUCGAUAGUGCAACCAGAGACAAGGGCUGGAAAUCUGAGAGCUCUGUUACGGAAUUUUUCACCAACCUAAGAUAAAAGGGAAAUCAAUUGAAUUAAGUAGAAUAAAACAAAAUAGAAACAUACUUUUAUUUCACUGAUUUAAAUUACCCUUUUCAACAGUUUUUCUAUCCUAUGAUUUUUUCGGCACAUGACUAGAAAAAAUAAUUAAAUCUGUUCUGUAAUUGAGUAGCUGUUCAAAAAAUCUUGGGCUGUAUGACAGUAAGCGGAAUAGCAUACAGCCACAAGGCACAUGAACACAGAUUCUUCUUCCCUUUAAAAAAAUAAGUAAACAAACAGAGUAAUUGAACUCACCGGUGAAAAGCAAAAAACCACGUGCAAGUUUUGACAGGUUCUGAAGAGGAAGAAUUCCAUCACAUUUUCAUGCGUUAGGGUUCGUUUCGGAUUUUCUCUUUUCAUGAUUGGAGUCAGCUCAGAUAUAAUUUCCUGCUGCUCAUCUCGUGUGAAUAAGUUUGAGAUCACGCCUAGAAUUAUUACAGAAAUAACGUAAUUAAUGACAUGGAAGAAUCUUAGUCACUAAACAUUGGUGACACAGCACCGUGUUCUAUGCAUUAAGUAAAUUGUGGUAAGGAUAAAUGAAAAAAAGCCUCAUUUCAAAAAAAUUUCGCUUUUACGAGGAGAUAUUUUAGCUGCAUCCAUAAGAGAUUUGUCAAUAUGUUAUGCUGAUUAAACCUCUCUAUGAGCAAUGCUUCAUGGCUCAUUUAACCCGUUAGCCAAACACAUAUGGAUGGGAUGGGCAAAUGAAGAACCUAUGUAAGCCUAUUCAAAUUGAUGGAUCAAAACUGUCCAUUCUGCUGACACUGUUCCACAAUUUUCUUUCGAAUUCCAUCACAUGAAACUAUUGAUACAAAUUAUAAUAACAAUGAAAUUUUUUGCAACAUUGACUGUGUUCUAAGGAAAGGAGGUGACAGAUUCAAAGACUCAUUUUUACAGGAGAAAAAGCUUCAGGGAAAUGAAACAGGAAAGAAAAAAGAAGAGAGGGGCUGAAGGAGGAAAAAAGAGCAGAAAGAGAGAGAAAACAAAAGUUAUGAUAAUUACCGGAGGAUAAAAUAUUGUUUAAGUAUUCCAAGAAGCCCUCUUCUUUGAUAUCAAGGUCAGUAAAAAUGAACGUAGUGCCUUUCCUUGAACACCACAUGUGCGGUACAACAAUUUAAGGUCCUCCAGGAAGUUUCCAACAUUAUAAGAUCUGUAAAGAAGGUAACAUGAUGAUACAUUGAGGUGGUUCUGUAGCAUUUUUAAUAACUGAUUGACUGUCGAUCGAUCAGUUCAUAAUUUCUGGAUUUUAAGAUACUUUUUUUAAAGAUCCUCGACUGUCACAGUCUGCUGUAAGAUGUUGGGUACCCAUAGGCAAUAUUUUAUUCAAUAGGAGCAGCGUGUAACUUUAGAACUAAAAAUACUUUCACAUCGACUGAUCCAGAAGAAAUUUAAGCUCAUUCUCGAGAUAGAUGGAUAGACUUUCAGAAGGAAAGUUUCUGAUGAACUCUGAAAGGCAAAUUUGGAAUCUCUAAAUAAUUUUAAUACGUACCUUGUGAGAGCGAUCUGGAACGUUUUGUACCCAGCGAUGAAAGACGCCAGUUGGGUAAGGGACUGUUUUCCGGAUCCUCCGACACCAACUAACAUCACAUUACCUCUUGGAUGACGAAUUACUCUAGAUAUCUGUGCGAACAAACAAAAAGGAUAUUUUAGUCUUUUGAAAAGUAAUGGUAACCUAUGAAAAUAAAUGAUUACUUUUUGAUUAUCACCAAAAUGCAAAA
rnacentral:lncRNA from 1 species